rnacentral:rRNA from 2 species
UGAGGUGUGAUGCCGAGCCGAUUGUGGCGAAGUGGAUGAUCCUAUGCUGCCGAGAAAAGCCUCUAGUGAGUGUGGCGGCGGCCCGUACCCUAAACCGACUCAGGUGGUCAGGUAGAGAAUACCGAGGCGAUCGGGUGAACUGUGGUUAAGGAACUCGGCAAAUUGCCCCCGUAACUUCGGGAGAAGGGGGGCCCUUGCUGGUGACCGGCCUGCGCGGCCGGGUGCUGGUGGGGGUCGCAGUGGCCAGGGGGAAGCGACUGUUUAUUAAAAACACAGGUCUGUGCGAAGUCGUAAGACGAUGUAUACGGACUGACGCCUGCCCGGUGCCGGAACGUUAAGGGGACCGCUUAGUGACUCUUUUGGGGUUGCGAAGGUGAGAACUUAAGCGCCGGUAAACGGCGGUGGUAACUAUAACCAUCCUAAGGUAGCGAAAUUCCUUGUCGGGUAAGUUCCGACCUGCACGAAUGGCGUAACGACUUCCCCGCUGUCUCAACCACAGGCCCGGCGAAAUUGCAUUACGAGUAAAGAUGCUCGUUACGCGCAGCAGGACGGAAAGACCCCGGGACCUUCACUAUAGCUUGACAUUGGUGUUUGGGGCGGCUUGUGUAGGAUAGGUGGGAGGCUGUGAAGCGGUCACGCUAGUGGUCGUGGAGCCGUUGGUGAAAUACCACUCUGGUCGUUUUGGAUGUCUAACCCGCGCCCGUGGAUCCGGGUGGGGGACAGUGUCUGGUGGGUAGUUUAACUGGGGCGGUUGCCUCCUAAAGGGUAACGGAGGCGCCCAAAGGUUCCCUCAGCCUGGUUGGUCAUCAGGUGGUGAGUGUAAGUGCACAAGGGGGCUUGACUGUGAGACCGACGGGUCGAGCAGGAGCGAAAGCUGGGACUAGUGAUCCGGCAUCUCUGUGUGGUUGGGGUGUCGCUCAACGGCUAAAAGGUACCCCGGGGAUAACAGGCUGAUCUUCCCCAAGAGUCCAUAUCGACGGGAUGGUUUGGCACCUCGAUGUCGGCUCGUCGCAUCCUGGGGCUGGAGUAGGUCCCAAGGGUUGGGCUGUUCGCCCAUUAAAGCGGUACGCGAGCUGGGUUUAGAACGUCGCGAGACAGUUCGGUCCCUAUCCGCUGCGCGCGUAGGAGACUUGAAGGGGGCUGUCCCUAGUACGAGAGGACCGGGACGGACGAACCUCUGGUGUGCCAGUUGUAUCGCCAGGUGCAUGGCUGGUUGGCUACGUUCGGGAAGGAUAACCGCUGAAGGCAUCUAAGCGGGAAGCUUGCCUUGAGAUGAGGUCUCCCUCCCACUUUGGUGGGGUAAGGCUCCCGGUGGAUGACCGGGUUGAUAGGCUGGUGGUGGAAGCGUUGUGAGGCGUGGAGCUGACUGGUACUAAUAGGCCGAGGACUUGACCACAACAAA